rnacentral:rRNA from 1 species
UGAGUACGAGCGGCUACGGCCGCGAAGUGGAUGAUGUCAAGCUUCCAAGAAAAGCCCUAUACCCGUUAAGGCAUGAUGGCCUGUACCCGAAACCGACACAGGUGGGGUGGUAGAGAAUACCGAGGGGCGCGAGGUAACUCUCUCUAAGGAACUCGGCAAAAUGGCCCCGUAACUUCGGGAGAAGGGGUGCCACCGCGAGGUGGUCGCAGUGAAGAGGCCCAGGCGACUGUUUACCAAAAACACAGGUCUCCGCUAAGUCGCAAGACGAUGUAUGGGGGCUGACGCCUGCCCAGUGCCGGAAGGUUAAGGAAGCUGGUCAGCGCAAGCGAAGCUGGCGACUGAAGCCCCGGUGAACGGCGGCCGUAACAAUAACGGUCCUAAGGUAGCGAAAUUCCUUGUCGGGUAAGUUCCGACCCGCACGAAAGGCGUAGCGAUCUGGGCGCUGUCUCGGAGAGAGGCUCGGCGAAAUAGAAUUGUCUGUGAAGAUGCGGACUACGUGCACCCGGACAGAAAGACCCUAUGAAGCUUUACUGUAGCUUGGUAUUGUGCUCGGGCUCGGAAUGCGCAGGAUAGGUGGGAGGCUUUGAUCCAUUGCUUGCGGGUGAUGGUGAGCCACUGGUGAGAUACCACUCUUUCCGAGCUAGAGUUCUAACAGCAACCCGUUAUCCGGGUGCUGGACAGUAUCAGGUGGGCAGUUUGACUGGGGCGGUCGCCUCCUAAAAGGUAACGGAGGCGCGCAAAGGUCUGCUCAGGCUGGUUGGAAAUCAGCCGACGAGUGUAAAAGCAGAAGCAGGCUUGACUGUGAGACCUACAAGUCGAACAGGGAGGAAACUCGGCUUUAGUGAUCCGACGGUUCUGCGUGGAAGGGCCGUCGCUCAACGGAUAAAAGUUACUCUAGGAUAACAGGCUGAUCUCCCCCAAGAGUUCACAUCGACGGGGAGGUUUGGCACCUCGAUGUCGGCUCAUCGCAACCUGGGGCAGAAGGCGGUCCCAAGGGUUGGGCUGUUCGCCCAUUAAAGCGGUACGCGAGCUGGGUUCAGAACGUCGUGAGACAGUUCGGUCCAUAUCCUGUGCACGCGCAGGAAUAUUGAGAGGAUUUCUCCCUAGUACGAGAGGACCGGGAGGAACGCACCUCUGGUGUGCCAGUUAUCGUGCCAACGGUAAACGCUGGGUGGCCAUGUGCGGAGUGGAUAACCGCUGAAAGCAUCUAAGUGGGAAGCCCACCUCAAGAUGAGUAUUCUCAUGGCAUAAGCCAGUAAGGUCACGGGAAGAACACCCGUUGAUAGGCUCUACGUGGAAGCGCAGUAAUGUGUGAAGCGGAGGAGUACUAAUAGACCGAGGGCUUGACCA